AAGUAAAAGUCGUAACAAGGUUUCCGUAGGUGAACCUGCGGAAGGAUCAUUAUCGAAUUCUGACUGGGUUGUAGCUGGCCUUCCGAGGCAUGUGCACGCCCUGCUCAUCCACUCUACACCUGUGCACUUACUGUGGGUUUACGGGUCGUGAAACGGGCUCGUUUAUUCGGGCUUGUUGAGCGCACUUGUUGCCUGCGUUUAUCACAAACUCUAUAAAGUAUCAUAAUGUGUAUUGCGAUGUAACGCAUCUAUAUACAACUUUCAGCAACGGAUCUCUUGGCUCUCGCAUCGAUGAAGAACGCAGCGAAAUGCGAUAAGUAAUGUGAAUUGCAGAAUUCAGUGAAUCAUCGAAUCUUUGAACGCACCUUGCGCUCCUUGGUAUUCCGAGGAGCAUGCCUGUUUGAGUGUCAUGAAAUCUUCAAUCUACAAACUUCUUAUGGAGUUUGUAGGCUUGGACUUGGAGGCUUGUCGGUCCCUUUACAGGUCGGCUCCUCUUAAAUGCAUUAGCUUGGUUCCUUGCGGAUCGGCUUGUCGGUGUGAUAAUGUCUACGCCGCGACCGUGAAGCGUGUUUGGGCGAGCUUCUAACCGUCUCGUUACAGAGACCAACUUUUAUGACCUCUGACCUCAAAUCAGGUAGGACUACCCGCUGAACUUAAGCAU
rnacentral:rRNA from 1 species